rnacentral:rRNA from 1 species
GGAAUGCCUGUCCGGUGCUGAAGCUGCCCAGCGAUGGGAUGUGCUCGUCCGGGCCGGUGUCCCUUCACUAUUCCACCCCACUGUGAACCGAGCGUGUGAGCGGAAGAGAGAUCGGAAGCUCGCACGCACACUUUAACAUACCCCUAAUGAAGUAUCAGAAUGUACCUUGCGUUAACUCGCACAAAUACAACUUUCAACAACGGAUCUCUUGGCUCUCGCAUCGAUGAAGAACGCAGCGAAAUGCGAUAAGUAAUGUGAAUUGCAGAAUUCAGUGAAUCAUCGAAUCUUUGAACGCACCUUGCGCCCCUUGGCAUUCCGAGGGGCACGCCUGUUCGAGUGUCGUGAACUCCUCCACCCUCUACCUUUUCCGAAAGGCAUUGGGCUGGGAUUUGGGAGCUUGCGGGUCCCUGGCCGAUCCGCUCUCCUUGAAUGCAUUAGCGAAGCCCUUGCGGCCUUGGUGUGAUAGACAUCUACUCCUUGGCUUAGCAGACCUUUGGGGCGAUCGCUUCUAACCGUCCCACGUGGACAAUCACUAUCAACUUGACCUCGAAUCAGGCGGGACUACCCGCUGAACUUAAGCAUAUC